AUCAACUUUCGACGGUAGGAUAGAGGCCUACCAUGGUGGUAACGGGUAACGGGGUGUUAGGGCACGACACCGGAGAGGGAGCCUGAGAAACGGCUACCACAUCCAAGGAUGGCAGCAGGCGCGCAAAUUACCCAAUCCCGACACGGGGAGGUAGUGACAAUAAAUAACAAUACGGGGUUCUUUAGGAUCUCGUAAUUGGAAUGAGUACAAUUUAAAUCUCUUAACGAGGAACAAUUGGAGGGCAAGUCUGGUGCCAGCAGCCGCGGUAAUUCCAGCUCCAAUAGCGUAUAUUAAAGUUGUUGCAGUUAAAAAGCUCGUAGUUGAAUUUCGGGGUUAGUAGGUUGGUCAUGCCUCUGGUAUGUACUGGUCUCACUGAUUCCUCCUUCCUGAUGAGCCGUAAUGCCAUUAAUUUGGUGUUGCGGGGAAUUUGGACUGUUACUUUGAAAAAAUUAGAGUGUUUAAAGCAAGCUAACGCUUGAAUACAUUAGCAUGGAAUAAUGAAAUAGGACGUUCGAUCCUAUUUUGUUGGUUUCUAGGAUUGACGUAAUGAUUAAUAGGGAUAGUUGGGGGCAUUAGUAUUCAAUUGUCAGAGGUGAAAUUCUUGGAUUUAUUGAAGACUAACUACUGCGAAAGCAUUUGCCAAGGAUGUUUUCAUUAAUCAAGAACGAAAGUUAGGGGAUCGAAGACGAUCAGAUACCGUCGUAGUCUUAACCAUAAACUAUGCCGACUAGGGAUCGGAUGAUGUUAAUUUUUUAAUGACUCAUUCGGCGCCUUACGGGAAACCAAAGUGUUUGGGUNC
rnacentral:rRNA from 1 species